rnacentral:rRNA from 1 species
AGUGAACGCUGGCGGUAGGCCUAACACAUGCAAGUCGAACGGCAGCACAGUAAGAGCUUGCUCUUACGGGUGGCGAGUGGCGGACGGGUGAGGAAUACAUCGGAAUCUACUUUUUCGUGGGGGAUAACGUAGGGACACUUACGCUAAUACCGCAUACGACCUACGGGUGAAAGCAGGGGAUCUUCGGACCUUGCGCGAUUGAAUGAGCCGAUGUCGGAUUAGCUAGUUGGCGGGGUAAAGGCCCACCAAGGCGACGAUCCGUAGCUGGUCUGAGAGGAUGAUCAGCCACACUGGAACUGAGACACGGUCCAGACUCCUACGGGAGGCAGCAGUGGGGAAUAUUGGACAAUGGGCGCAAGCCUGAUCCAGCCAUACCGCGUGGGGGAAGAAGGCCUUCGGGUUGUAAAGCCCUUUUGUUGGGAAAGAAAAGCAGCAGGUUAAUACCUCGCUGUUAUGACGGUACCCAAAGAAUAAGCACCGGCUAACUUCGUG